CCUACGGGAGGCAGCAGUGGGGAAUAUUGCACAAUGGGGGAAACCCUGAUGCAGCGACGCCGCGUGAGUGAAGAAGUAUUUCGGUACGUAAAGCUCUAUCAGCAGGGAAGAAAAUGACGGUACCUGACUAAGAAGCCCCGGCUAACUACGUGCCAGCAGCCGCGGUAAUACGUAGGGGGCAAGCGUUAUCCGGAUUUACUGGGUGUAAAGGGAGCGUAGACGGCAGCGCAAGUCUGGAGUGAAAUCCCAUGGCUUAACCAUGGAACUGCUUUGGAAACUGUGCAGCUAGAGUGCAGGAGAGGUAAGCGGAAUUCCUAGUGUAGCGGUGAAAUGCGUAGAUAUUAGGAGGAACACCAGUGGCGAAGGCGGCUUACUGGACUGUAACUGACGUUGAUGCUCGAAAGCGUGGGGAGCAAACAGGAUUAGAUACCCGAGUAGUC
rnacentral:rRNA from 1 species